rnacentral:rRNA from 1 species
AGCGGCGGACGGGUGAGUAACGCGUGGGUAACCUGCCUCAUACACAUGGAUAACAUACCGAAAGGUAUGCUAAUACAAGAUGAUAUAAGAGAUUCGCGUGGAUUUCUUAUCAAAGCUCCGGCGGUAUGAGAUGGACCCGCGUCUGAUUAGCUAGUUGGUAAGGUAACGGCUUACCAAGGCGACGAUCAGUAGCCGACCUGAGAGGGUGAUCGGCCACAUUGGAACUGAGACACGGUCCAAACUCCUACGGGAGGCAGCAGUGGGGAAUAUUGCACAAUGGGCGAAAGCCUGAUGCAGCAACGCCGCGUGAGCGGUGAAGGCCUUCGGGUCGUAAAGCUCUGUCCUCAAGGAAGAUAAUGACGGUACUUGAGGAGGAAGCCCCGGCUAACUACGUGCCAGCAGCCGCGGUAAUACGUAGGGGGCUAGCGUCAUCCGGAUUUACUGGGCGUAAAGGGUGCGUAGGUGGUUUCUUAAGUCAGGAGUGAAAGGCUACGGCUCAACCGUAGUAAGCUCUUGAAACUGGGAAACUUGAGUGCAGGAGAGGAAAGUGGAAUUCCUAGUGUAGCGGUGAAAUGCGUAGAUAUUAGGAGGAACACCAGUAGCGAAGGCGGCUUUCUGGACUGUAACUGACACUGAGGCACGAAAGCGUGGGGAGCAAACAGGAUUAGAUACCCUGGUAGUCCACGCCGUAAACGAUGAGUACUAGGUGU